rnacentral:lncRNA from 1 species
GGGGACUACGGCGGCGGCGCGCUGGGCGCCAACCUGCUCUACGGCCGGACGUGGUGACGGCGCGGCUGGCCGGGGGUCCCUCCGCCUCCCGAGGGUCUGCGCGCGCCGACGGCGGGGCCGCCGCUCACGAGCGGACGGACGGAUCGCGGAGAGGGGCGGGCGCCGGGCCUCCGCUGCGGGUGGGGACGCGACAAGCCCCGGGAUCGAACCCUGAGAUCGCGCCGGCCAGGAAGCUUUGAGUUGAGGCACAGAAACCAAAAUCCAGAAUCCAAGUGGCAGAGAGGAACGGCGGAGAUUGCAGGGCCGACGAUCGCAUCCGUGCGGGGAGCCGAGGCGACGCUGGCCGGCGGCGAAGCUGCGGCGCGCGACCCAGGGAACCCGGGUGUUGAUGCCGCCGACGCGCGCCCCCCUGAGCCGCCCGCCCGGCCCUGGCUCGGGGUCAGCCUGCAGGUCACCUCCCCACGGGCUUCCCCGACGCCGCGCGGCCGGACAGCGUUCCGGGAUGGACGGAUGACCGUGUGCUGCCCUCGAACUCACCCUGAAGACAGACGCUCACCACCGGCUCUCAGCGACGCGAUAAAGUCGGGCCGUUCCCAGGUUCUUAAAUGCUUAAAAACCUUGAAAAACUUGGCCCUACUCAAGCAUAGCACGAUGGAGGACAGUUAACUACACAAAACCGACCCGUUGCGUUUAUUUACUCCUGAGUGUGGAGGGGGCUAGUUAUAGCUUUAAACGCGCCAUUGAAAGUUCUAAAAAGCCUUUGUUGAAAUAAUGGGGACUUUUUCUGGAAGAUUCAAACGUGGGGGUAUAAGUUGGAAAGAGAUGUCAGAGUGAGGAGAGAGAAGGAAGCCAGGGCUUGCCACCUGCUAGAGGAAAGCUCGGGGCUUAAUUUUCCAUCAGGCUUUUUUGCUUAGAUGUCUUCAAAACACUUAAAAACAUUUUCAAACUUAAUGUGUUUUGAUCAGUUACGUGCAAUGGUGCAAAAAACCAAGUCAAAAACUAUUUCAGAUAUGCUCAUGAAAACUUAAAAAACUAGACCAAAAUUAAAGAUCUGAGAAAGUCUAGGUCCUAUAGAAGCAUGGCUCUAGGGUACUUAGGAAGCUGUAUACCCCAAGACAUGUGCAUGGGCUCCUUUGGAAUAUGCAAUACUUGAUUCAGGUGUUACACAUUUUCAAUAUUCAGAAGAUAAACAGCAUUAUUCCUUCACUGUAUUGUGAUGGUAAUAUAUAAUGGUUAAUUCAGAGACUCUCUAUCUCAACAAAAAAGAACACUGCUCUACUCACCCAUCAUCAGCAAUGAACUCAAUAGCUUCAAAAUACCUUCCU